UGGGGAAUAUUGGGCAAUGGGGGAAACCCUGAUCCAGCCAUCCCGCGUGUGCGAUGAAGGCCUUCGGGUUGUAAAGCACUUUUGGCAGGAAAGAAACGUCAUGGGUUAAUACCGCGUGAAACGGACGGUACCUGCAGAAUAAGCACCGGAUAACUACGUGCCAGCAGCCGCGGUAAUACGUAGGGGGCAAGCGUUAAUCGGAAUUACUGGGCGUAAAGCGUGCGCAGGCGGUUCGGAAAGAAAGAUGUGAAAUCCCAGAGCUCAACCUGUGAGCUGCAUUUUUAACUGCCGGGCUAGAGUGUGUCAGAGGGAGGUGGAAUUCCGAGUGUAGCGGUGAAAUGCGUAGAUAUGCGGAGGAACACCGAUGGCGAAGGCAGCCUCCUGGGAUAACACUGACGCUCAUGCACGAAAGCGUGGGGAGCAAACAGG
rnacentral:rRNA from 1 species